AUGUACAAGUUGUACAAGAGCGAGCUGGAGGCGAUCACGCCUGAGCAGGUGGAAUGGGAGCCGUAUGGAAAAGGAGAGAGUUUUGGUAACCCUAUAGAGUUCAGGCUUAAUCCGAUGUGCAUUAGGGAUAGGGAUCUCUGGCAUAUGCGGUGCCCACUGAUAUGCAACUGGGCGGUUGAGCUUCACCUGCCACAUCGGGUGUUCCGCCAGUUUGGUUUGUUCCAGCCACACCCGCCGGAGUGGGAGGACACGGACAAGUUGCUACACGCGUUGGAUAGGAAAAAGCAGCGGAAGAUCAAGGAUUGGGCCAGCCAUCACAGGAAGUAUGUCGUGCAGUUCGCUCUUAGUGUGGAGCAAGCAAGGGCUGGAAAACGAGCCCAGCUUCGUGAGCACUGCCCGAUCGCGUUCAACAACUAUCUCGCAUGGUUUCUUGCAAGUACCCGCGUGGAGGUAUGCCAGCCGGCGUAUGCUGAGGAGAUUCUGGAAGAACCCACCGUUUUUGAUGAGAUCAAGAAAGCAGCUGACGAGACCGAGACUAUUCUGGAAACAACCCCGGCUGGCAAAAGCGAUGGGGAAGGUGCACUUCGAGAAUUCAUUAAGCGCCAGGGCCAAAAGUUAAGGCGGCUAUCAAACCUUUUCGGUUGUCGUGACCCCGAGUAUGUAUCACCAGAACGGUCUAGGUCGGCGACACCAUCAGAUCCCGCUUCGGGGCAGAGCCAUGGUGAACCUUUCACGGAUGAGGAUGUGGGUGGGGUCACUCAAGAGGUUGCUGAUGAUAUGACCUUGGGGACGUACCGGGCUCGGUCUGCAUACGAGUUGAAGCCUAGGAGGGGAAUCAACAAGUACACACCUGAAGACUUCACCCAAAGAGGCAAAAGGACGGCCGGCACCUCGCGGAUGGCGGCUUUGGAUGACUAUUUGGAUGACGAUGUCGAACCGGAGGCGGAGCCGGAGCCGGAGCGGGUUCCUCUUCCUAGGAAGGUGAAGAAGAUAAGCGUCAAGAGGGGGGAGGACCCAGCAAGCGUGGAAAGCACUAGUCAUCUUAGUUUUUUUAUAAUGUUGAACUUUGAGUGCGAUUUGUUAUGUCGUUGA
rnacentral:rRNA from 1 species